AAUUUAGAAACAAACGGUGCUUAGCUAACACGUGUCAGCCUUUUGAGUAAAAGUUUAGGAACAAAAAAAAAAGCGGUGUUUUUCUUUUUUUGUUUAUCUCUGUCGUCUUUUCUCUUUUCGUCAUCGAAGAAGAGUUUCAUCUGGAUGGAGGAAGAAACUCAUCAUACAUCCAUCUAGAUCAAUAUCUGAAUUUUUUGGCUUGAUUUAGGAAGAUUUUUGGCUUGUAUAUAUCAGUAUGGUGCCCAAAUCUGAAAUUUUUAGUGGCCUGUGUUCUUGGCGAAUUGGGUUUCGGUGAAAUUGAGCACUAUCAUGAAUCGACUAUUCGGGAAACCCAAGCAGGAGUCUAAUCGAUCUUAACGAGAUUAGGAAUUGCUAAUUGGGAAUUGGAAAUUGUUUAGUCGAUUGGGAAUUGUUAAUUGCGAAUUGAUGUUAACAAAAUUAGAAUAUGAGAGAACAAUCCCAAAUUCGCAAACCUGGUAGAUCUUCGUCGUCGCUCAGGUGUUGAAUUGCCACUGCAUUCCUGCUUGGACUCAGUUUCAUCAAAACGCUGCCUUUCAACCUGAUCAUCUCUCAGCUCACCCUCUGCAAAUUCUUCUUCAAAAGCUGGCUCCAGCUGCAGAAUUAGGAAACAACAUGAACUUCUAUAGAUGAUUAAACAAUGGCUACUUUUAAGAUCAAAUAUUUGUUUAGUGCAGCGGGAUAAUAGACAUUCAAGAUCGACCAAAAUGGGACAAGGAUUCAGUGAAAGCAAAGGAAAGAGCAAAAGCUAGGGUAUAAAGCUCACCUCAAAGAUAUCUGGGAGUUUUGUAUCAAUGUUGGAAGAUUUUAUGUUGAUCUCCAGCCUUUGCACCUAUCAAUGUCGUAUACUCUCUUCUGGAUUCCUACUAUACAACAAGUGGGUUCUAUCUCCAAAAUACUUCAAUUUUCCACUUCAUCUAACGUUGACAAUUAUCCAUAUGGGAUUUUCUGGAUUUUGUGGCCUUCCUUCUUAUUCAGGUUUUCAAGGUUCGGAAAUACUGCAUAUUUGCACAUUUCAGUUGCCUUCAUACAGAUGCUCCAUAUUCUUAGUAAUCGGAAUUCAACAUUUAGUCUUUGAUGGUUUAACAUGUUCUACUUCCAAGACCAGGUUAUUUUCUCGGUUACACUUACACCAAGAAUUCAACAUUUAGUCUUUGAUGAGAUUAGCCUAAAAUGUACUUUGUUGGUUUCUUACAAGCUUCUUUGUACCUAAUCCAUGGAAACAGAUUCUUCCAUUGUUGAAGAAGCAUGUUCACGUUA